rnacentral:rRNA from 1 species
CUCCUACGGGAGGCAGCAGUAGGGAAUCUUCCACAAUGGACGAAAGUCUGAUGGAGCAACGCCGCGUGAGUGAAGAAGGUUUUCGGAUCGUAAAACUCUGUUGUUGGAGAAGAACGUAUUUGAUAGUAACUGAUCAGGUAGUGACGGUAUCCAACCAGAAAGCCACGGCUAACUACGUGCCAGCAGCCGCGGUAAUA